rnacentral:rRNA from 1 species
AACGAACGCUGGCGGCAGGCUUAACACAUGCAAGUCGAACGGGUGUAGAAAUACGUCAGUGGCAGACGGGUGGGUAACACGUGGGAACCUUCCUAGGGGUACGGAACAACUCAGGGAAACUUGAGCUAAUACCGUAUACGUCCGUGAGGAGAAAGAUUUAUCGCCCUUAGACGGGCCCGCGUCGGAUUAGCUAGUUGGUGGGGUAACGGCCUACCAAGGCGACGAUCCGUAGCUGAUCUUAGAGGAUGAUCAGCCACACUGGGACUGAGACACGGCCCAGACUCCUACGGGAGGCAGCAGUGGGGAAUCUUGGACAAUGGGCGCAAGCCUGAUCCAGCCAUGCCGCGUGAGUGAAGAAGGUCUUCGGAUUGUAAAGCUCUUUUGCCAGGGACGAUAAUGACGGUACCUGGAGAAUAAGCCCCGGCAAACUUCGUGCCAGCCGCCGCAGUAAGAC